UACAGGGUCUCUGGAUUGGAACAAAAGUAGAGGGAGGUCCUAAGUUACCCUGUGGACCCAACAAAGAAGGCGGUAUAAGGACUAUUGAGCCCAGAGUCAGGCUGAAAAUCUGCCGUCAGGUUGCCAGACUAAUUUUUUGUUGGACCCUGGAAAUGGUGGGUAACAUGACCUGGUUGGAGGGCCAAUUCACAAGAAGAAGAAGAUCACUGCAGGCCCAGAGUGGCUGUCAGCAAUGGGUGUGUGAUCGGGCUUGCUCUCACCACCUGUUAGACAAGGGUUAAGAGCCAAGUAGUUCACCUGUGAUUGAUUCAUUCCUGGCCAGAGGGGGUGGAGCUAGGUAGGGCUCAUUAGGCACCUGGGGCUUAGGAGGGAGCUGAGGGAACUCCGUAGAGGAGAGGACUGCAGAGGAGGAAGCAGGACUCUCACAUGAAGAGAAACCCACAGAGAGCAGGGGACUGAACUUUGUGACGUGGCUGGAGAGCUGAGCUGUGGCAGACCCUGUGAGAGGCAGCGAGCAGGAGUGCCAGACACAAAGACUCCAUGCAGUGUUGCACUGUGACACAAGGGUUGCAAUGGGUGAUGAGUAUACUACCUUACAGGGUGCCAGAGGAGAAGACCCUGGUAUGCCAUGUCCAUGGAUUCACUCUUCUACAGCACCCUAAUCCCGAUGCGUUGUACCUCUUCUUGUUUGUUUCAUGUAGUAACUAAAAUGGAUCAUAAAAAGUCAGACCACUUCUAAAUGAAUUGUACCAAUAA